UCUAGGCCCGAUGGACAGGGCUGGAACGAGGCUUUGGUCCAAUAGGCGUGGACUGGGACGGGACCUGGGCUCGUUUGUGGGGAGCCUCGCUGGCGUGGUGGAAUGCACAAUGUUUAACUUUCCCCUCCGCUUGUCUGGUCUCCACCUUUCUCCUUUAGCUUAACCCAGUCUCCUGCAAAAAUAUAUCUUAGAAAUUCUUAUCAGUGCAGAAGACAAAGAUGAAGUCUGAAUAACAACCUUACCUUUCCUUGUUCUCCAUGCUUUUCCUGGUAACCUACCAUAACUGACUCCCCCAACCCGCAAUGUCUUCUUUUGUCUUCAGCUGAAGAUGGUAUUUAAGGUGGUGGCUUCAACCAUUUGGAAAUGCAUUGUCCCUUCUGGUGGUCUGCAUGACUACCCACCAUAUGGUUUUACUAUUAACCUCCUAUAAAAGAGACCCUGUCCUGGGAAGGGAUGGAUUUCUCUGCCGGCCACCACUGGGAGUAACCAACUGCUUUGCCUGUACCAGAGAACAGUACCAUGCAGAGCUGGGCUCUCAGACUUGAGCCUGCAUCAGAAUCACCUGGAGGGCCUGUUCAACACAACUUGCUGCGCCCACCCAAGAGUUGCUGAUUUAUCAAGUCUGGGCCAGAACUCAAGAAUCUGAACUUCUAACAAGUUCCAGGUGAUGCAAAUGCUGGUAGUCCAGUAAUCAUAUCUUGAGAACUACCAAUGGAGAAAAACACGGACAUUGAUAGCUCUGUGUUUAAAGUAAUUUUGAAGAUUCUGAAUGUAAAAAUUUUUCAAAAAUAUCAUAACCAAUUUAUUUUCCACUUCUACUUUCAUUUUUCCUCCAAUCAAAAGAGUGAUGUGUGAUAAAAAUGUAUUCCUAAAUAAAUUUGCAAUGCAUCAUUCAAUAAGAAUAAAAUAAAAAUUCUAAGGGACAAGACAGCAUUGCAUCACAGUUGAAUUAUUAGAUUUGGUGGUACAUAAAAUAAUAGUGUACUUUAAAAUUGAUCAUUCUGUAAGAGGGUGCAGC